rnacentral:tRNA from 1 species
AUUCAUUUAGUAUAAUUAAGUAUAUAAAGCUUCCAACUUUAAGGUUUUAAAUUAAAUGAAUA